GGAGGGAUGGCCGAGUGGACGAAGGCGUUUGAUUCGAAAUCAAAUGUACCGUUAUGCGGUACCGUGGGUUCGAAUCCCACUCCCUCCU
rnacentral:tRNA from 1 species